ACGAACGCUGGCGGCGUGCUUAACACAUGCAAGUCGAACGGAAAGGCCCUGCUUUUGUGGGGUGCUCGAGUGGCGAACGGGUGAGUAACACGUGAGUAACCUGCCCUUGACUUUGGGAUAACUUCAGGAAACUGGGGCUAAUACCGGAUAGGAGCUCCUGCUGCAUGGUGGGGGUUGGAAAGUUUCGGCGGUUGGGGAUGGACUCGCGGCUUAUCAGCUUGUUGGUGGGGUAGUGGCUUACCAAGGCUUUGACGGGUAGCCGGCCUGAGAGGGUGCCCGGCCACAUUGGGACUGAGAUACGGCCCAGACUCCUACGGGAGGCAGCAGUGGGGAAUAUUGCACAAUGGGCGGAAGCCUGAUGCAGCAACGCCGCGUGCGGGAUGACGGCCUUCGGGUUGUAAACCGCUUUCGCCUGUGACGAAGCGUGAGUGACGGUAAUGGGUAAAGAAGCACCGGCUAACUACGUG
rnacentral:rRNA from 1 species